rnacentral:rRNA from 1 species
GGAAAAAUUUAUUGCUAUUAGAUGAGCCUAUAUUAGAUUAGCUAGUUGGUGGAGUAAUAGCCUACCAAGGCAAUGAUCUAUAGCUGAUCUGAGAGGAUGAUCAGCCACACUGGAACUGAGAUACGGUCCAGACUCCUACGGGAGGCAGCAGUGGGGAAUAUUGGACAAUGGGCGAAAGCCUGAUCCAGCCAUGCCGCAUGAGUGAAGAAGGCCUUUGGGUUGUAAAGCUCUUUUAGUGAGGAAGAUAAUGACGGUACUCACAGAAGAAGUCCUGGCUAACUCCGUGCCAGCAGCCGCGGUAAUACGGAGAGGGCUAGCGUUAUUCGGAAUUACUGGGCGUAAAGGGCGCGUAGGCUGAUUAAUAAGUUAAAAGUGAAAUCCCGAGGCUUAACCUUGGAAUUGCUUUUAAAACUAUUAAUCUAGAGAUUGAAAGAGGAUAGAGGAAUUCCUGAUGUAGAGGUAAAAUUCGUAAAUAUUAGGAGGAACACCAGUGGCGAAGGCGUCUAUCUGGUUCAAAUCUGACGCUGAAGCGCGAAGGCGUGGGGAGCAAACAGGAUUAGAUACCCUGGUAGUCCACGCUGUAAACGAUGAAUGUUAAAUAUGGGAAGUUUACUU